CAAGGUAUAGCUAAACAUUCCAAAGCGUCUCACUUACACCGAGAAUUUAUCCGUGCAAAUCGGUUUACCUUGA
rnacentral:tRNA from 1 species